UUCAGAUAUACUUUCUUGCCCUCGUUUCAUAAACAGUCAUGAGCCUUUAUGUUGAUCCAUUUAGUUACCUUAACACCAACCUUUGCAAGAGCCUUCUCAGUGCAGAAGACUUUUGAAGUAAGCUGGGGCUGUUCUGUCCUGAUUUUAUAAGUGGAAAAGAAAGUUCUCAGAAGGAAGGUUACUUUGAUUCUGCUGGCAUAGGAGGGACAGGUAUCUGAGGUCAAGCCCUCUUGCUAGCUAUUUUUAUUUUAAAAGAGCUGUUUCCUGAUGAUGUAUUUACAAUGAAGAUGUCAAGUAGUUAAGAUGACUUGAUGGGGAUGUGCAACUUCUGGGAGGGUGACAGUUUCCCACAGAGGAGGGUCUGAGCCAUUCUUGCCAUGGUUGUUGGAUCCUUUUCUCGAUUGGGUUUCCAAUGCUUUGGUCUUACUGGAGGUCAGAUUAGAAAGCAUGGUUCUAUCCUUUCACCUGCCAACCAGGUAUUCAGCUGAAGCAUUGCACACUGGUGCUUCUUGACAUGGGAAGGUAAGGAGAUGGAUGGAGGAGUUCAUGAUGACUCCCAGAGGUGGAGGCCCAUGGCCAUUUGAGAAAUUCUAGAGUGAACACUCAUGCAGACUCCUUGGUUACCAGUCGAAUGGACUGGUGCUCCAGAGUGAGCCUGGGCGACAGAUGAUAAAGACCUUGCAGAAGGAUGAAGAGGCACAGACUAUAACUGCAAGGUUGUAGCUGGUUCUGCCCUGAUUCCUGCAGGUGCCAACCCUGAGGGCAUAAUUUGUUUUAACUAUACUAUUGCAAUCAUGAAGUUGAUGGUAUCUGGGAAAUGAGCUGGAGUCUAACUCAUUUUCUGUUUUGCUGUGAACUUGGCAACUCUGGUGACAGUGGCCUUGAGUGUGGUGCCCUUAUUGUCCGCUGAGUGAGUGUUUUGAACUUAAACUCUAUCCCUGGUGUGGUUGGAUACUAGACUUUGAUACUAGGAAACCUGCUUGGUGUCCCUGGUGGCUCAGAUCCUGGUGUGCCUGAAUUCUGAGCUUAGUGCUUCCUUCCUGUGGCUCGGGAUGGUGAUGAUUUCAUGCACACCUAAACUCAGAAUUUCCCAGAGCCAUCUGGUCACCAGCCAAGAAUUUUGUGCAUUUGGGUGCAGUGGCCAAAAUGUCAGUCAGGGAAAAUAAAGAACAUCUCCUUUAAUAAUGUGUCUCUGGGAAUCAGCCAAGUCUAAGACUAUCAGAGGUCCUUCAGCCCAUCCCCACAUGCGAGGCUGGGCUGCCGUCACCCAUCUCAGAUGGAGAGUCCUUUAAACGCUGUCAGGAGGCAAGAUUCCACAGGCUCCCUCCGUCAGCUCUCCUGAGCCAAGAAAGAGAAGAGCUUGUUGAGUUUGGAAGACUUCCAUUGACAUGUCAUUGAAGGGGUGUUCUCAGAUGUUGUGGGGUGCAGACCCUGCCAACUUCCAUGCUGGGCUCAGGAAAGAGGUUUGGGCUUAUGGCCUGUAUGCCCCAGAGAGAAAAAACCCUGAUGUGGAGGUGAGUGUGGUGAUGGGUUAGAAGUACAGAUGCCUCAGCCAGCACUUACCUUCCGUUUUCGUUUUUUAAUUUUUUUAAUCUUUUGUCCCUCUGUAUUUCUCAGAAAUAAAAUGCUCUUUAGAUGGAUUUGGAUUGUGUCGUUUUUUACAGUCUACUGUGAGGCAGUCUUUUGUUCCAUAGAUCCUGGUGUUCUCCAUUUCUAUGUGAGGAGAUGAAAAAGAAUGAAAUUCCCCAAUGUGUACCCUCUUUCCCUGAUGUCCUUCACUGUCUCAAUGUUCUUUGGCUUUAAUUAUGAUUCUUCUUAGCUUUGGGGAAGACAGCAUUGGGAGUCUCCUCUGAUUCCAGUUUCUUUUAUGGACUUGCAAAUAGUCUAUCCCAAAGAUGUAACUUCAGUCCUGUCCUCACCUUUCCUAGCAAAAAUGCCAGUAAGGUUAUAAACAAGGCUAUUCACAUUCUGCUUGAGGACUGUCCUAGCCUCAUCCCAGCUUUAGCCUUUCUUCUCUGUUGCUAAACUGUGUGGUUUGGCAUAGCAAGGCUUUGUUUAUAAGAAGAACUUCUGGUUACGUAUGUAGAUAUUUUUCAUUUUUUAAAAAAUUUAUUUAUUUUACUUUAGGUGCAUACUGUAUCUGUCAUUUCUCCCCAUGUUAUCCCUCCCCACCCUCCCCUUCCUCCCCACCCCCUGCUGUCUCCCCUACCCCCCCCCCAACUGCCCCCAGUGUAUGAUGCUCCUCUCCCUGAGUCCACAUGUUCUCAUUGUUCAACACCCACCUAUGAGUGAGGACAUGCGGUGUUUGGCUUUCUGUUCUCGUGUCAGUUUGCUGAGAAUGAGGGUUUCCAGAUUCCUCCAAGUCCCUACAAAGGACACGAACUCAUCGUUUUUUCUGUCUGUGUAGUAUUUCAUGGUGUAUAUGUACCACAUUUUCUUUGUCCAGUCUAUUAUUGAUGGGCAUUUGGGUUGGUUCCAGGUCUUUGCUAUUGUACACAGGGCUGCAAUGAACAUAUGUGUGCAUGUGUCAACACUUUUCAUUUUCAUUAUGUCAUUUGGUCAUGAGACCAUAUCUGAAGAUUCUGUCCUGUGGCGGCCCCAUCAGUGGAGUCAGCACAAGGGAGUUUUCCAUCUUCCUGGGGAAAGACAGCAAGCAAGCUCACUUUGAGUUUGGGUGAGAAUUACUGUAGAAUCUCUAAAGCCAUCUCUGUGGUAAGUCCAUAGAUUUAUAGGAAUAAAACACAGUGAGAGCUAUUAAAAAAUUAUAAUCAAGCUUAGUGAAUGAGAAAAAAAUGAAGUUCCAGCCACAUAUAAGAUGCAAAUGGAAAGAAAGUGAGAAAGUAGAAUGUAAAUUCUUAAAAUCCAUGUCUUUCAUUCAAAACUGUUACCAGUUUUACACAUUCAUGGUUUGGCUGGCCAUCUGGGCAUUUUGGAAAGGCAGCUUUAAACUUCUCAUGGAAGUUAUACUAAAUCAUCACCCUGGAAAAAAGCACUCAGAAUUCUCCAGAUAAAUUGUAGUUAGUAUUUACACCCUUCAAAUAAAUAAAUCAGGGGACAAUAUAUAGGCUUUCCCACAAGCGAAUCUAAUCCAACAGACAUGUGUGAAAUAGCUUGUCUUGGUGAAUUUUAGCUAGAGCUGCCUGCCCCUUGCCCUGCAGAAUGGUGAGGUCUGUCCUGUAGUAUAAGUUUGAGAUUCUAGGCUCUCUGCAUCCAGCCCUUCAAAAAGUUUGAGGAAUGCUGAUUAAUUUAUAAAACAGGCUCCAGUGGUCUGCUGGACCAGAUAUGUCUCAAGGCAGGCCAGCUCCAGUUGUGCAAGUGGACAAGCAGGCCAGGUGGUUAUUUUACAUCUGUCCAUCAGCAGAUGAGUAAUGUAGUUUAGAGAAAUGUCAUCAUUGGCAAAUUUAUGAUCUUUUUAACCUUUCAAAGCUCUUCUUACUAUCUUGAGGUGAUGGAUAAGUCACUUCCAAAGACAACUGCACACCUUUUGAUUUUGGCCAUUAGGCAAAGAUAGAUCCCAGCAUAGGGCAUUUUCCUUGGGCCUGGUCUUAAUGAUCCUAGGGUGAUUGCAAGGGAAGACUCAUUUGUGUAGCCUCAAGUGAUUAGUGUCUAGUUAAGACAGAUUGUCCUCAGAGCUCCUAGAGUAGAAAACCAAGGAGAAUUACAUCUAAUCUUAUUAAAAUUAUGCUUUAUCAUCCCAGCAGUAGACUCUCUAAGAAACACCGAAAAAGAGGAAGAUGUCUCUGGACCAAGUCUUUGGUCAGACAUCACAUCAGUGCCUUAACAAGCACAGACAGGCAUUGAGCCCUGCACACACCAUCUCCCCAAAGAUUUCCAAUUAGCCACACAAGGUGGAUUGUGUACAGAAAGCUCCCUUUCUUUUUCAUUCUUUUUAAAAGGACUCCUGCCCAAUUUAUGUCACACGUCACUUUAGCUCCUAGUUCUGAUGUCUUCCGACACCUACGCCAUCCCUGUCCUCACACAUUCUGAUCCUUGUGAAGCAAAGAUUUUUUAGAAACUGUACAACCAAGUCAAGAGUGCCUGCAGACACCCUGUGGGUGCCAAUGUCACCAUUGCUGCUUCCAUCCUUGUCUAUUUCCUCCCUUUGACACAAGAACAGCAAUUCUUAUCUAACAGAUAAGGGAAAAAAAACAAAGACCCACCGGUGUCAGCAUGAGAGCGAGAAUCGUGGAUUGCAUAAUGCAGCAGUCCCUGUUGCUUUCAGAAUUUCAAGAGAAAGUUGGAAGAGACAGAGGCCCAGAGCUCUGGGUAUUUGCAUUUUUACUAGGGGCAUUCUGGGAAAGGAUGACUCACAUGUGUGAAGAUAUUUAUUCCUUUGAUUCAUGUUUAAACGCUACUUCUUAUGCUAUCGUUAUGUGGAUUAUGAAUAUUUAAUGCUGCGUAUACUGAAAAUGAAGGUCAAGUCCUCCUUACUGGUGACUUCAAUGCAGGCUCUUGUCUCUGAAAGGGAAGCUACCUGCUGUUCGCAGAGUAAAGCAGAAAGGUUAUACGUUGUUAAAUUUUUACUUAAUGACUUUAUCUGCUCUAAAAUGGCUGGCACACAGUGGGGGCGCUUGCUGAUUUUGCCAGUCUUUGCUCUUGGCUUCCGAUAUCAGCACUGCUGUUUUAGGGAUAUGGACGUUAGGAAAGAGGAGGGAAGAGCAGCACAAAUUUUGUAGAGCAUCUCACCCAAGGGCCCAAUUGCUAAGGCAACAGUGGGGUUACGAUUGGAAAAUGGCAUAUUCUCCAUCUUUUAAAAUUUUGCUUUUGCAUCCACUCACCCAUUUAUUCAUUUUGUAUUCAUUUAUUAGUUUGUAACAUCUUCAAAUGCGACAAUGCUGAACAUUUUCCCAGCAGUAAAAUUGCUUAUGGUUAAGGAAAACUACCUUUAAGACUGCGAUAGAAAUUGACCAGAUUGUUUUCAGUGUCUGAAAAUAAAACUGGCACCGUUGAUGUCAUGGGGAUGCCCAGAGCUUUAGCGGAACUGGUUAGUCGCCCAAUCGUUUCUCCCACUCCAGGCUUCACAUAGCCUGGCCUCUCAUCCCUUGGCCUAGAAAUUCUCUUUCAAAAGGAAAGAGAGGGCAAAUGAUUGGAGGGGACUAACAUUCACUGAUUAUGUGCUGUCUAGGAGCUACGGGCUAGGCACCUUACCAUAAAUAGCACACACAACCUCGUUGAAUUCCCCUAACAACUUCUUAGGAUAAGGUAUUACGAUUCCCACUUUACAGAUGAGGAGGCCGAAGCUGCAGACAGAGCCCAAGCCAUAUAGCUAGUAAGCAGUAGAGCCAGGAUUUGAUUCCAGCAAGGCUCAUUCUAAAGCCAUCUCUCUUCUAAGUGUCAAGAAGUAAAUUUCCGGAUUUUGGAAGUAACUGAUGGGGUUUAAUGAGAUGUUGCAUGAAUGGGAAGUUGCAUCACCUCAUCCUGCCAAUGCAUUGGUUUUGUUUUCUCUUUUGUUCUUCUUUUCCCCAUUUCUCACCCUGAGAAUCAAGAGUGCAGUUGUGGGUACAUAGGAGGCUCGUAUCACAGGCCUUCCAUGUAAGAGACUGACCUGGGUCGGGUGUGGUCUGAUGUCUGCUUGGGCCUUGAUUCAGUCCUCCCUCAUAAUGGCUUAAUAAGACAUACUUCUCUUUUAUCUCAGUAGAGUGGCAGCAUUUUGCAAUGGGAUAGGAUCAAGUGAACAAAGAACAAGGACAGUUGCUUGUUUCUCAUGAGCUUCUACCACCUAGGGGUGUCUUUCUGAGUAGAAAGACUCUUUGGUCUUCCUCCCCUUACCUAGUCUGUACCUGUGAUUUGGCAUACUGAAAUAGAUAUGAGAAAUGCUGUUUCCCAUGAGAUACAUUCUUUUAUCUCUUUUAGAGAGUUGCAGAAUUAGUCGAUUUAUUAUAGUUUUGCAUUAUGUUGCACAAUAUUUAUAUGCCUAGAGAAUUGCUAUUAUCAAACUAAUGGACUUCAGGAAAGUUUGGCCCCAAAGAAUGGAGGCCACAUAGGAUGGAGGUUUUUGAAAUGACAUAAAGUAUCUGGCUUCCUUCUCCAACAUUGUUUUAACUAACUGGGUACAGGUGUAGACCCACUGCCUCUCCCAUGCUCAGCCCCAAGACAGACACCUGGGAGAGCUGUGAGGCUAGCACAGAUCCCAUCCCUUUCAUGACAGUGCAUUUUAAAUUGUAAAGGACGAUGCAUACCAGCUUUCCCUAUCCCCUUUAGCACACCCCAUCCUGCAGUGCGACCAGAUGGACAGCCCAUGACAUAGAGAAGGAAGCUCACCAGCAUACUGUGUAACCAAUUCCUUUAUGGAACACAGCCUUUCUAGGUAGUGUUCUGGAAAAUUAGCUCCAGCUCUCCGCCUUCGUGCCCUUUUUGAGAAGUCACGGCUUGCAUUUAACCUUUGUUGAAGAAGUCAACACAUAUCACUGUGUGUGCAAAGCAUCUCCCUGGUUUUUUUCCUUUUAAAAUACUCCCCUCAAUUUUCUCCAUCCCUCACUGACAUUUUUAUUGCCAGGCUUUGGUUUGGAAAAUUAUGGAUAGGGAAAGUUCAAGGGCAGGAUGUUCAGAACGGCCCUGCACAUCUGUGAAGGGAACAUGACAGGAGAGCCAGCAGCUGUUGAAAGAAUGAAAUGUCAGAUGGUGGAGGAGCUGAGCCCACUGAGGGAUGGUGGGAGAGGAGAUGCCUUAAGGGCAAAGAGGCUAUAAAUAACUCCAGUGGGAAGUCCUUGUCCCCCUUCAGAUUUUACCCUUUAAUAGCAACACUUGGUUCUCUGAUAUGAGAGUAACUCUAACUCAGUCUUCCUAGCUCAUCUAGCCUUCCACAUUGCCAUUUGUUCAUGAAUCGAAUGAAAGCCUGGUAGAGAAGACAGGUGGAGAGUAUGCCAAGGAAGAGAGUCGACUUCUAUAUACGUCCUUGUCUCCAUUGGGUAGAUUUUGAGGGCAGGAUCUGUUCUUUGGUUGUCAAACAGAUUGGUUUUAUUUAUGUCAAAGUUCAGAGCAUUAGCGCCCUUCCUCCUUCUCCCUUCUACAUUGGUGAGGAAAUCCUGUGUCCUUGCUUAUUUCUCAUUGCACAAGGGGUACCUAGGCAUUGUGGGCAAUGACAUCUAGAAGCAUUAAGGGAACUCCUUAUCUUUGGCAUUUCAUUGGGCAAAUCAAGGACUAUGCUGGGAGAGGGAGGAAGGACUGGGCUGAACCUUUCAGGUCUGCUACAAAAGACAACUGUAGAAUACAAUGUUAGAGUGAAAGAAGUCCUGGAGCCCAACUGUUGCCACUGUUCCUGUGUCUCAGCAUCCUUUCCUGAGGAAUGAGGGUGAGGGAGCUCCUCAAGGUCACCUGACAAGCUGGGGGACAGAGCUGGAACCAGAAGACAGAGCUCUUCUCUCCCAAUCCUUUUCUACUUGAUCUCCUGGGUUCUUUCUACUAAAUACAAAUAUGAAUAAAGACAUAAUAACCUACAUAUUGAAUAGCAAAGCAUAUAUUGUCUUUUUAUGCCAAUUCAGCACUUCCAGGCCCUUGUCAUGGGGCAAGCUUUAGGGCCAUGGGAAAGAACAAACAUAAUCCCAGGUGGAAAAGAUAAAAUCCAGCCAGGUGGCUGCAUGGGAUUAGUUUAUUUCAUCCUCAUUGAUAAGAGACUUUGAAUUCCUUGAUUUCAUGAUCCUACUACUUUCUCUCUCUCUCUCUCUCUCUCUCUCUCUCUCUCUCUCUCUCUCUCCAUUCCCACAGUCUCACUCUCUUUUUCUGUACUAUUUCAGCAUGGAGGUGGGGACAGGUAAGAGUUAAGAGUUCAGCUCCAUUAUGGAAGGGUACAGGGCUGCAGAUAUUGAAGAGCUGAACACAUUGUUUGAAAUUCGUUAUGCAUAACUUCUGAGGACAUUUUAUCCAACUGCUCAUUUGUUUCCCCUGUGGAAAUACUAUCUGAUAACUAUGUCUAUACAUCUCUAUCUAUUCUGCUCUCCAAAAUUUAUUCCCUUCGUGCUACUCUCCAGAAGUUAAAAAGAAUGCUUUGGACAAUCUGGUACUCUCUUAGCCCUCUCUUACUCUUUUUAAAAGAGUAAUUGUUUCAGGGCAAAUGAAGAAAAUGCAUUCCCUUUCAGACAUACUACUUACUUCUGUCCUCUGCAACAAGCCUGAGUUUAUACCACCAGAGGGCUGUAUCUUCUCCCUGUCACAUGGCACCAGUCUUCUCCCUAAAGUCACAGGCAGAUAUGCAUUCAGAGACUGCUUAGAGAUCAGGAUAGGAGCCAGCUGGAGCGAAAUGUUAUAGCUCAGAACAGUUUAAUCCAAACACAAGGGCAGUGCUUGUGCCUAACACAACUGUGACAGGGGCAGGGGGGUGGUGUGCAGAGCGGUGGCAGCUUUUACAGCUUUAUCAUGGAGUUCAUGGGCUGGAGGAGAUGUGACCUCUUCCUUGUCUUUUACCCCUUGUCUUUUGACCUGACAGCCUGACACUUGUAGCUUUGGGAAGACCCUGGUUGGUGAUGAGUCAUUUGUGGCUUAAAAAUAGAACUCUCAAAGCAAUGAUGCCCUUGGGACUUUUUGAUGCAUACAUCUUUGUUCAUAGAAUUUGGAGGGGAGAGAGAGAGAAAGAGACAGAGACAGAGAGAGAGAGAGAGAGAGAGAGAGGAGAGAGAGGAGAGAGAGGAAAGAGAGUGAGUGUGUGUGUAGGAAACAUCAUGUCCUGCCAAGAAAUUAAGUGGUGAAGCAGACCAUGGGGGAAUUGGCCAUUAGGCUCAUCACAGUAACAGAGAUGAGACUGACAGCUGUCUGUACCUGUGGCCUUAAAGGUACCAAUCAGGUAAUAGCUCUCCACUGAGUACCAACUGUGUAUAAGGCAUUUUGCUAGGUACUGGGGGAUUUUGAGUACUUAUGUAUAAAGUUAGAUCUUUUCCAUUAAGAUAUUUAAAUGAUGCAUAUUUUUACAAGAGGCAGGAAGUCCAGCCAUAUAUACAAGAAAAAUAAGAUAACAAAACAAGAACAAGUAAAGCAUCACUAAGCAGUAUAUCAAUUACUAAUAUGAGCAUUGCAAACCAUAAGUGCUGAAGGUUGAGGGGUUGAAAAGAUAGCUGGAUACUAUAAAAUGUUUUGGCUCUAGGGGAGAUUUUGAGUUGAAUAGGCAGAACACUCAGUCUGCCCCCAACUCUAAGAGUCCACAAGAGGAGACUCUCACUGUGGCCUGCACUCGGGCUUUGUGAUUUUCUAUAUACACUAAGUCAAGCAAAACCUUGCCUUGAAAUCAGCCACUGAGAUUAGGGAUUGAGAAUGCUUCAGGGGUGGCAUAAAAUAAUCAGAGAAGUAGACUCUAUCCAGUGGCAGUAAUACCUGCUGUCCAAUUGUAGGUGAUUAAGACAUUUGGAAAUUUUUAUUUGGAAAUUUCCAGAAGUAUCUGAAAGGCAUCCAAGCCAUCUUCUUGAAACAGGUCAGUGUGUGAUGUGCUUUACAGGGGCCUUGUUCUGAACUUGUUACGUGCAGAUCAUCACAAGGGUGUGAUGGGGAGGAAAGCUGGCAGUAAAAUGAGCUUGUGCUGCUCACAAACAGGCCACAGUGUGGACAUGGAUGUUGGUCUGAAGACCAGCAUUUGCCCCCAGCUCCAUGUUGCGAUUUCCAUGGGCUCUAGGUAUGUAGGCCUCGUUGAGCCAAUUCUUCCCUAAGAAUAUUAAAAGUUUUAUUUUGUGGCUACAUUCAUCUAAGGAUGAAUAUAAACCAGGCUGGAUUUAUUAUUGUUUUUAGAGACACAGUCUCACUCUGUCACUCAGGCUGUAGUGUAACUGGCAUGAUCAUAGCUCGCUCUAACCUUGACCUCCUUGGCUCAAGCUAUCUUUUGGUCUCAGCCUCCUGAGUAGUUGGGAUUACAGGAAUGUACCACCACGGCUGGCUUUUUUUUUUCUUUUUUCUUUUUUGAGAAAGAGUCUCACUCUGUUGCCCAGAUUGGAGUGCAAUCAUGGCUCACUGCAACUUCUGGCUGCAGCGCUCAAGUAAUCUUCCUGCUUCAGCUUUCAGAGUAGCUGGGACUACAGGUGGGCACCAUCAUGCCCAGCUAAUUAAAAAAAAUUUUUCGUGUAGAGAUGGGGUCUCACUGUGUUGCCCAGACUGGUUUCAAGCUCCCAUGCUCAAGCAACCCUCCCACCUAAGUCUCCCAAAGUGUUGAGAUUGCAGGUGUAAGCCAUUGUGCUCAGCCUGGAUUCAUUAUUAUGAUUAUUUAUUAUUAUAUUUAUUUAUUUUCUUCUGAUUUUAAAAAAGUUAAAAUUUAGAUUUUUUUGUGUGUGUGUGCCCCAUAAGUACAGGGGCCCCAGGCACUAUGCCAGCCCUGCCUGCUGGAGAAAUUGGCUCUAUUUCUUUCUUUCUGACAGCCCCAUCCUUCUGGAAAUUUUCACAGAUAAGAAAAUAUGCUCAGAGACAGAUGCCUUGUAUUACACCCCUUCAAUGUGGUCUAAUUGUUUCAAAUGACAAAAUAAAAAUAAACAUUUUAUUUUAAGCCCCGUCUGAUAACUUGGCUUUGGGAGAUAUGCACUUCAGCAACUCAGCAUUCAAAACAAUGGACACAACAAAUAUAUUAAGACAGCUUAAUAAUCUUGCUUUUCUCCUGAGUUUUGGAAAAGCAUGUGCCUUUUCCAUUCUUUUAUCUGACAAUAAGUAUUGCUGGUUUAAGAUAUCUGUUUGCUGAGAGUGCAACAGUACAAACUAAUAUUGUCUUCAUCAGAAAUUUGCAAAUUCAGCUGGAUGGGGAGCGAAGAUGCUGGAAAUGAGUGAGGAUCUGGUGAGGGCUACAGUGAGGUCUGAAACCUCAACUAAAGUGGCUUUCCAGGUCCAGGUGACUGUUCCUAUGCAGACGUGCAGGCUCUCGUGGCCAGAUCUUCCUAUGUUUCAAAGAGGAGAGAGAAUACUGGAUUUUAUAUUGAAUCUCCAAUUUAAAAAUAUUGGCCUCAAAUCCAAAACUCUUAAAGUACUUGCAGGCCAAGUAAAAUACCUCUGCAGGCCAGAAUUGGGCCUCCCGUUUUCAGCCUCUAUUCUAAACUGUCUCUCUUUCUGGUCUUGAAUUGGCUGUGCUCCCUUAAUGCCAGGAAACGUUCUUAACCCUUGCUCCUCCAUCUCCCAAAAAGGACCCCUUUUCUCUCUAAGAUGGGAAGCCUUUGGUCUCAGGGUGCUCCGGGUUGUUUGUCAUCUAACACAUUUUCAAACACUGCUUAAUUAAAUUUCCACUUUUCUGGAGGCAGGUACUGUAUGCCACACCAAUAAAUCAUCCACAACUUACUGUAAGCCCCAGAGCUACAUAUCAUCUCUGAAAAUAACAUCGUUAGAACCUCAUAAACAUACACUCUGUUUGUUUAAGAACUGCAAGAGCUUUUAAAACAUGGUUGCUAAGUCACAGAGCAUAUUUUCCAGGACAUAAAUGGAAGUGAACAUAUGCCCCUUAAAUUGUCAGAUUCUUUUUUUUUAUAAGAAGAGAGGCCCAAAUCUGUCUGUUCUUCCAGGAUAUUAACUUGACCAAAGCAGAGUUGAUUAUACUAACUAUGUAAGUAUUAGUAAUUACUGGAAACUAUCCUCUGACUUACUUAGCUAAAUGGGCAUGUUCUGUGGGACUUGAUUUAGUUUCUAGCAUAUGUGGGUAGAAGGUACAGGUUGACAUGGAUAAAUCCUGGCUGUAGUUUUCAUGAACCCUAAAGUUCACAAUUUGCUGAGAAUUGUAUUUAAUAUUUACUGAUGACAUUCUUAUGGUAUGGUCCCUUCCAAAGCAAAAUUGGAGACAUAUCUAGACUUUUCCCCUGAGACACAGUCCCACAUCUAGGCUACAACUUCAUCACUGACCUUACACUUUUUCAUGGAAAUUUGGCAGUUAAUGAUAGGUAGCAUCUGCGCCUACAGCUCAGAUAUUUUCAGAAGUAGGAAAUAGAUGGCCCCAUUAAUAUCAACUGCCAUUUCAGUGGAGCUGCCUCAUCAGUCUGUUUUUAUCGUGGAAGAUACUCACACCACCUUUAACCUGUCAGGACACUCUCAGGAGGAAACUGUAGGUAGGGCUCCAGGACCUCUGAUGCUGGAAUCUACUGGAAGGCAGUUUGUCCUUAACAAGGAUACUCUAUCUCAUGUUACUAAUCACACCCAUGCAGAGACCUGCCAUCUUGUAAUUUGACAGCUAGCAUUUCCAUAUACCCCCUACACUCACUCUAUGCCAGAAAAUGCCGAAAAUGAACCCAUGGCCCGGGUUGAGAUACAAUUGAUCUUGAGGCCCUAGAGGGAACUACAAGGAGAGUACACGGAGAAGGUGAAAAUAAUGUAGAUGCCAUUAGGUGGCUCUACCUAGCAUGUGCUUGUCCUCUAGCAGUGGGAGGAAGUAGCAGAGGAGUGCAUUAAGGAGUUUGCCCUCUUCAUAAUAGCAUGAAUAGAAAUAAUAAGGCAAGACCUGUAAAAAGCAGCAUAAAUAAUUGAAACGUGCUCCAGGAAGCCGUGGGUCUUCCAGUACCUUUGAGCAUAAUCUGUUAUCAGGUACAAGGUGAGACUGAGGAGUAGACAAAGCGGGUACAUUUGGUGGUGGCUGUGUGCACACAUGUGCUACGCUUGGAGGAAGCAUGAAUGAGUAAGAUUUGGCAGCUACAGCAAGUAAAAUUAUAGAAGGCAAUGUAUGCAGAUUACCAUGUAGACUGCCGGUGGUUCUUCUGUGGGUCAAACAGCCACUUGGGAAUUGGAUGAAAGCUACAAAAAUUUUGUGCUCCAGGUACCCUAAAGUUGAUCCAUAAAACCCAAACUAAGGGUUUCUGUUCUCAUAAGAUUAAUUCAUCUGCUCACACACUCCUGUUUCUUCUGCUGUGAAGAUCACAUGGCUGAGAGAGGGCCAUCUUCAAACCUGAAAGUUAAGCAGAGAUUGACUGGGAACUCUUCCCCUCAUGGCAUACAAAACAUGUCUAAGUGAAAGUCUCUGCAGUGUUCUCUUAAUCAAGUGUCCCUUAACCUGCAAUGCAUUCUAAAUCUCAACAAUAACAGGCAAUGCUAAGGAAACUCUGGGAGAAAGGCUCUAGGCUUCCUACCUCUUCCUCCAAUACCAGGCAACGCUAAAAGGGGUAGGUAAGACAAGAUGCGCCUACUAGGCCAAGCCUAAGAGCUCUUUGAUUUCCUUCUGUUAUAUAUUGUGGGUUAGCACUUGUUUGUAGAGGAAAAAUUCCUCCUUAGGCUGUGAUUUCAGGAUGCAAGCAAUCUCCAGCCAAAAUCAUAUCACCCGAGACCCACUGCUGUUGCACCCAGAAACUAGGCAGCACUGGGGGCCCAAACAGAUGCAAACAGUUGCCACUUCUGUACAAGGCUGUAUUUAUUAUCCUCCACUAAAAAGGAAGAGCUGUGUGUAGAGAGUUUCCAGGAAUCUCUAUGGGCUCAUCCAAUCAGUCUUCAGACCAGUUUGACAGAAAGGAGAAGAGGAGCUUCAGCACAAGGAGGCCUCAUCUCAUCUGAAUUCCUUCAGAUUUCUUCCCGACCUCACUUGUCUCCAAGCCAGCCGACUGUGAUGGUUUAAUUGGUGCAGGGGCGCCUGGCAUUCUGGAAGGAGACUCUCCUGAGAUGAGUGAGGGGAACUGUAGCAUACAGGCCUGAGAAGGCAUAAAGAAGAAACAUUGCCAAUUCCCUCCUCUUUGAGCCCAUUGGGCCAGAGUUGUAUAUUGAUAUUUGUCAUCUGUGACCUUUCCACUCGGGGCAAAGAUGUCUGCUGGGCAGCUCUGGCAGGGAAUAAAAAUGUGUGGGAAGGUAGCUGGGUAUGGUGGCUCACAUGAGGUGAGAGGAUCACUUGAGGAGUUGGAGACCAGCCUGGACAACAUAGUGAGGCCUUAUCUCUGAAGAAAAAAAAAAUUUAUUUUGAGACAGAGUCUCUCUCUGUCAUCCAGGCUGGAGUGCAAUGUCAUGAUCUCAGCUCACUGCAACCUCCGCCUGCUGGGUUCAUGUGAUUCUCCUGCCUCAGUUUCCCUAUUAGCUGGCCAUGGUGGUAUGCCUCUAGUUUCAGCUACCCAAGAGACUGAGGUGGGAGAGUGGCUUCAGCAUGGAAGUUUAGGGCAGAAGAGAGCCCUGAUUGCCCCACUGUGUUCUAGCCUGAGUGAAAGACUGAGACUCUAUCUUUAAAAAAAUAAUUUUGAAAAAAGAAAGUAGGGAGGAAAAAGCCUAGUGGUGAACAGCAGGGUUUGGAAUCAGACCAAACCUUGGCUUACUUGGCUCUACUACUUUGCAGCUGUCUUGGGCAAGCCAGCUAACCUUUCCAAGGUGAGAGGAUCACUUGAGCCCAGGAGUCACAAAGCUUUGCUUGAAAAGAGUUCAGGAAAUGAAGUCUUUCCUUUAUAAAAUGGGUGAAGGUGGUGACAAGAGAUCUCAUGGUGGAUAGUACCUACCUGAUAGCAGUGUGUGGAAACAAUUGAACACUCCCAUGGAAAGGCUCUUAGCACAGUGCCCAGCUUGAACAUGACCAAAAAAAAAGUAUCAGAUAUUAUUGGUAUUGUUCUUUUUGAGGUUUGUUUUGAAGCUUUUAAUCAGGUCUUGAGAGACACAAGAUUAUAAACACAGUGAAAUUAAGGAACAAAAUAAGAUGUAUUGUGAGGCAGUAAAGAGAUCAAUUAUCAGAAUAGUGUACAAGACCUGGGCUUCUGAAAACUGCAAUCACAACUCAUUCAUGGUUUGUGAAAGGAAAAACAAGCAUUUAAAAAAGAUGACAUAGCGGGACUUGGUGGCUUGUGCCUAUAAUCCCAGCUACUCAGGAGGCUGAGUCGAAUAUGACUUGAGGCCAAGAGUUUGAGACCAGCCUGGGAAACAGAGUGAGAUCUUGUCUCUAAAAGUAAAUAAAUAAAUAAAUCACGAGAUUGAUUAGCCCAAGAUAGAAAUAUAGCUGGAGAAGUUCAGUUUGCUCUCAGGAAACUUUUGUUUCCAUUAUAUAUAUAUAGAUCUAUGUCCUACACAAACGUAUGUGUGUACUGAUUUGUGAUGUAAAUUCUAUUUCUUACUGUGGAAUUUGCUAAAAUGUAGUUUGAGAAACACUAGCUUUUAGUGUAGAAGCCAGCCUGCUCGCUGGGUACAGUAAUCCAGGGAACUUUAAGGGAGGACAGCAGGCUAGAGUUGGGUCCCAAGGCAUGGGUAGAAUUCGGAAGGUGCAGAAGGGCAUGGGGUGAGCAGUCCCAAAGAUCCUCCUCACUCUGACAUCAACUUCAGGUUUGGCACAUUCUCCAAGUCACCUUCAGGUUCAAUAAUGCAUAGAAGGACUGCAGAACUCACUGAAGGCUACUAUACUCAUGGUUACAACUUAUUACAGGGAAAAGAUACAAAUUAAAAUUAGUCAAAGGACAAGGUACAUAGGCCAGAGUCUGGAAAAGAUCCAAAUACAGUGCUUUCAUUAUCUUCUUUAUGUGGAGUCAUGGGUCAUGUUACCUCCCAGCAUCAAUGUAUGACUACAUGCAAGGAGUAUUGUCAAUCAAGGAAGCUUGCCUGAGCCUCAGAGUUCAAAGUUUUUACUGGGGCUGGAUCUUGUAAACUUGGAUGACUGCCUUCAUGGUCAGCCUCAGUUCCCUCCUCCUCUGGAGGUGGAUGGAUACCAUGUGACCCAAAGCCUCCACCAUAAAUGACAUUGCUAGACUUUCUGGGGUGGUCAGCCCCUACUCAAAAUAACACUGUUACUAUCUGGCCAGCCGAAGACCCCAGGAAAAGAUACUUUUACCAGGCAGGACACUCCAAGGGCUUAGGGAUUGCCUCCCAGAAGCUGAGGGCAAAGGCCAGCCUUUUCUUUGGCAAAGUUAAUGUCUUUACAAAAAUAGUCAGUGAAGGGACUUUAUUGGCUGGAGGAGAGGCCUCUCUUGAGGAAGGCUGGAAGUGGAUCCUUUGAUUACUUACAUGAAUAGCAGAGGAGAGGAAAAUGCUACUCCAUGAACUUCGGUGCUUCCAGAUUCUAUUAAUGUCAGCAAAAUCCCUGUUGAAAAAAAAAUGCAAUUUAUUCCUUCCCUUGGCUCCUCUGUAUACCCAGGCUGAAUAACCUGUUAGCCAGUAAGGGGAAGAUAGGGCACAGGAAAGAGGAAAGGGCUCAGCCUGGAUGCAUGCUUCCCAUGUGGGUGAGUGACCCUGGGCAUAAUGGGCCUUUGGUGAGAUCCCAUUUGCUGCCACCUCCAGGUGACCAGGAGUUUUUGGGCCUUAUUUCUUUGUAGACCUGAUAAAUGGUCCUCCUGGUGUCCUUGACAGCUUUAGUAAGGAGAAUAUCUGUCUCCCUGCUCCAAUUUAACUUUUCUUCUUUAAAACUUGAUGAGGUCAAAGCCAGAAAGCACUGAAACUUCAAGCUGGGGAUCAAAAGCAUGUCAUCCAGCUAUGCUGCCCCCUUGCAACCUGACAAAUGAGACAACCUCCAGCCAGGGACAGUUUAUAAUUGUGCAAUCAAAUUAACUUGGAUUUCAGCCUAAUGAAGUGCUUAAUGCCCUGAAUGAGGCCGAGCCCUAAUAUUUAGAGAAGCAGACUGGACCCCGGGAAAGAAAAGAACAGGCUUCAGCUAAUGCCUGCUAGUAUUAAUUAUGCUUGCAAAGUAAAUCUUUUCCAAAAUUCAUCUUCUCGUAGGAGGCAACCUGUUAGCACCCAGUUCUGCUAUAUUUUUGCUAAGGGGUUUUCCUGCUGUGCCUCAUAAACAGAACAGUGGAAAGAACAUUUUAUUGGAAAUCUCUACUGAACUCUGCGUUCUGAGGCCUGUUUCUUAACUUCACAGGAUCUUAGCUUUUUCAGUUGAACAGGAAGAAAAUUUCUCUUCUCUUAGAAGUGUUGUAUUGUAGUUAAAAAUCGAUACUCUGAAGGCAGGUAAGCCUGGUUAUGAAUCCCAACUCUGUCAUUUAUUAGCUAUGUGACCUUGAGUGAGAAAUGAACCUCUCUGAGGCUUAGUUCCCUCAACUGUAAAUAUGAAUAAUAAUAUUCUUAGUCAUUAGGAUGGAGAACAGUGAAUGAGUUACUGUGCAUCGAGCACUUAAUACAGCAUAUAGGACAUGCUGGCAUUUGUUAAAUCUAAUGACGACAAUGGCAUAAAUGUAAAGGAAUUUUCAGUAUGGAUUAUGUGUCCCUAAUUUGGCCUCAGUAGUCUUUACUUUCAUGAUGAUUCAGUAAUUAACUCAAUAAAUAUUUACUGAAUGGCUAUUAUGUGCCUGGCGCCGUUUUAAGCCCUAAACACAUUACAGUAUCAGAAAGAGACAGACCAUAAACAAGUUGACAAGUAAAUAAGAUAAUUUCAGUUGAUACCACGUGCUGGGAAGAAAAUAAAACUGGUAAUGGAAAAAGCAGGGUUUCUUAAUGUUUUGUGCUAAGGACUUCUUUGGCAGCCUGGUGAAGACUAUGAUCUCUUUCUCAGAAAACUAUUAUUUAUAAAGGCAUAGCAUAAAAACAUUGGAUCAUUAGAAAACCAAUUAUAUUAAAAUCAGUUAUCAGAUUAUAAAAAACAAAUUAUGAUAAAGUGUGUUUGCUUCUUGAUUAUGGCAUUUUUUAUCAGGCUCCAGCAACAAUUCUAAUACACCACCAUCAUUUUAAAGUAGGAUUAAUGUAAAUAAUACUUUGAGAUAUCUGUAACAACUGUAAUCUUAUAUGUAAAUAUCUGAGAUUUCUGUUGCUAAGUUACAAGUAUCAUUAAUACUAUUCUAAUUUAUGGUCUACAUUCAUAAUUAAAGGAAUUGCCAAAUUUGAAUUAGAGGUUAAUAAAAAUGAAGAUGUAAUUUUUUUGGUCCAAAUCAUGGACUCCCUAAGUACUACCCAAGGACCUCUUGGAAGAAUGUGGCCCCAGGUGAAGGAUCUUGGGAUAGAGAAUGACUUGUAUUGGACAUUAGGCUCUUACUUUAGAAAAAGUAAUAAUGUGGUUUCUGCUUUUAAACAGUCAUUUAGACAUAUAGAUCAAUGGAAUAAAAUUGAGAGUCCAGAAAUAAAUCCAUUUUUAUUUAGUCAACUAAUUUUUGAGAAUAAUACCAAGAUCAUUUAAUGAGGAAAGAAUAGUCUUUCCAAUUAAUGGUGCUGUCCAGUGUGGGCAACUUAGGAAGAUUCCAUCUCUACAGAUGUUUUUUUAAACAUUAGCCAUGUGCAGUGGUGCAUGCUUAUGCCCCAGCUACUUGGGAGGCUGAAAUAAGAGGAUCACUUGAACCUGGAAGGUGGAGGCUGAAGUGAGCUGUGAUUGUGCCACUGCACACCAGCCUGCAGUGACAGAAUGAGAUCCUGUCUUAAAAAAAAAUGGUGCUGGAAGAACUAGAUAGCCACAUGCAAAAGAAUAAAAUUGGACUCUUCACAUCAAUUAACUCAAAAUAGAUAAAAGAUUUACACGUAAGAGCAAAAACUUUUAAACUGUUAGGAGAAAAGAGAGGGGUAAACCUCUGUGACAUGGGAUUUAACCAUAAAUGCUUAAAUAUGAUACCAAACACACAAGCAACAAAGGAAAAUUAGAUAAAUUGGACCUCAUCAAAAUUAAAAACAUCUGUUUUUCAAUGGAAGGACAUUACAAAGAAAGUACAAUGGCAGUCCAAUUUAAAAACAGUCAAAGGUUAUGAAUACAUGUCUCUCUGAAGAAGUUAUACAAAUAGGAAGCACAUGAAGAGAUGUUCAACACCUUAGUCAUCAGAGAAAUGCAAAUCAAAACGACAGUGAGAUACCACUUUACACCCAUUAGGAUGGCUGUACUUGAAAAGACAGAUCAUAACAAGUGUUGACAAGGAUGUGGAUAAAUUGCAACCCUUGUUGCUUUUGGUAGGGAUGACGUAAAAUGGUGCUGUAGCUUUGGGAAACAGCUAGACAAUUCCUGAAAAGCUUAAACACAGAGUUAUCAUAACAUGUCCAUUCCACUCUUAGGUAUUUAUCCAACAGAAAUGAAAAUACAUGUCCACAAAAACCUUGCACCUGAAUGUUCAUAACAGCAUUAUUCAUCAUAGCUAAAAGGUGGAAACAAUCUAAAUGCCCAUCAACAGAUGACUGGAUUAACAAAAUGUGAUGUGUCUCUGCAGUGGAAUAGCAUUUGGCUAUAAAAAGGAAUGGAGAACUGAAACAUGCCACAAUGUAUAUGUACCUUGAGAACAUUAUGCUGCGUGGAAGAAACCAGCCACAAAAGAUCACACAGUAUAUGACUUCAUUCAUUUAAAAUGUCAAGAAUAGGCAAAUGUAUAGAGUCAGGGAAUACAUUACUGAUUGCUUGCUUGUGGGAAGAUUGGGAGUUGAUAGCUGAAGGGUACAGGACUUCUUUGUGAGAUGAUGAAAGUGUUCUAAAAUUGAUUGUACCAUUGAAUUUUAAACCUCAAAUGGGUGAAUUGUAUGGUAUAGAAAUUAUAACUCAAUAAAGACAUUAACAAAUAAAGUCGUUCUGACUGUGAUGUGGAGAAUAGAAUUUAAGGAAAGAUAAAAGAAAGGAGAAUAUUUGGAAGGCAGUUUUAUUAUGUCUCCACUGAGAGGAUGCUGCCUUGGAAGAGGAUGGAGGCAGUUGGGGCUUGAGCACAUGCUGGAGGCCUCACAGCUGUUUUGUUGAAAAUGGAGAGGAAUCAAGAGUGACUCAGGUUGCUGACCUUAAUAACAGGUAUUUUCCUCCUAGAAAAGCUGAGGUUCAGUUAGCAAUCUGCAGAAAUGCUGGGAGGACUACUAGCAAACCUAAAAAAAAUCACUAGAAGUUUAUUGGAGAGUUGGUUUGCAAAGUGUCACUAUCAAUUUCAUUGUACCUUUUAGCAGGGAAAAAUAUUUAUCGUAAUGCACACAAAUUUACACACGUCUUCACAUACUUGCAAAGCAGCAAUAUAAAAGUCAUACAUUUUAGAAAGCCGAGACAGAGGAGAAAGAAUGAACCCUGUGCCUCAUGACUUCUCAUGCUGAUGCUUAAUUUGUUCAGUGGAAAUGGAUCAGUGAUUAGAGCAAGUAGGAAAGAAUCUCUUCAAGAACGUAUGUAUCUUCAACAUGUCCAUCACACAUAAUUUUCUCCUAGUCACAUGCACAAAUGAUAGCAGAAAAUGUCAUUUCAGGGCAUUGAGUAUUAUAGAAUUUUGAUAAUGUUAGCAAAAUAAUGGAUAAAAUAACUGAUUUCUCAAUUAAAGCCCUGGCUAAGUAACUUGUCAGACCAGGAGUGUUAAAAUCUGAGUUACCCCAGGUCCUUCUCUAGAGACAGUGUGGCUUCGGUAAUGAGCAAGCUCUGGAAAUUAAAGAAGUAAUCAGAUGUUGAUUGAGGUUAUCUGCUUCACUUCAAGCAGAAGUAAAUCAUACAGACCUCUCCUGAAGACAGACAUUUCUCUGUUGAUAGAGUUAAGGUUGUUUCAUCAUGCUGAAUUCUUUGUGGCCCCUUUUCACAUAAAAGUAGGAAGCCAUUUUCCCUGGAGUGGGAUGGAGGGAUGACUUCCCAGGAAUCUGAGCUUUGAGUCAAAGAGGCAGGAACUGGGAGGCUCUCAUUUAUGCUUGAGAAAGAAUGAUUUCUCUCAGUAUUGUUCCUCUUUUCCUCCAGUGCCCCAGUGCGAGCCUGGGUGCAAGCUCUGAUGAAUUAAUUAGCCAAGCGUUGAUUUCUAACCCCAACCUCACUGACAAACUUUAGCUAUGUGAUUCCACCCUGGACAGACUGACAAGGCUCACUUUCCUUAUCCACAAAGAAUGCAGUGCAAUAGAGAACUUGUGAAAUAUCUUCUAACUUUAGCACUCUUUGGUUUUCUUAAUCCUGGUGAAAUUCACAGAGCAUAUUAGCCAUUUUAAUGUGUAUGAUUCAGUGGUAAUUCAUACCUUCACAGCUUUAUGCAACCAUCACCUCUAUUUAGUUCCAAGACAUUUUUGUUACCUCAAAAGGAAACCCCACACUCAUCAAGGAGUCACUCCCCAUUUCUUUGUCUUCCUAGCCCCUGGCAACCACUGAUCUGCUUUCUGUCUCUGGAUUUACCUCUUCUAGAUGUUUCAUCUAAAUGGAAUUAUAUAUGUGUGACCUUUGUGUCUAGUUUUUUUUCACUGACAUAAUGCUUUUGAGGUUCAUCCAUGUUAUAGCAUGUAUUAGUACUUAAUUUCCUUUUAUGGCUGAAUAAUAUCCCAUUGUAUGGCUAUCACACAUUUUGUUUGUUCAUUCAUUUGUUGAUGAUGAACAUGUGGGUUGUUUCUAUUUUUUGGCUAUUGUGAAUAAUGCCCUCAUAAGCAUUUGUGCACAAGUAUCUGUUUGAAUUCCUGUUUUCAGUUCUUACAUGCAUAGCAGUAGAAUUGCAGGGCCAUUGAGAAAUUCGAUGUUUAGCUUUUCAAUGAAUCACUAAACUAUUUUCCACAAUGGCUGUACCAUUUUACAUUUCCAACAACAACAUGUUGGGUUACAGUUUGUCCACAUCCUUGCCAACUAAUUUUGUUUUGUUUGUUUGCUUUAUGUGUGUGUGUGUGUGUGUGUGUGUGUGUGUAUCCACUACUCCCUUGGUUCAUCUCAGGGGGUUUGCUCCACCUACAGUGGUAGCUUCAGGACGGCCAGCAGGUCAAUGUGGGAAGAGCAUAGGCUUUGGACUCAGACCUAGGUGGGGUUCAAAUUCAGGCCUAUCUCUUCCUAGGAAGGUAGCCUUGGGCAGAUGAUAAUCUCUGCAAGUCUCGGUCUCUACAUCUGUACAAUGGCAGUGAUAACUGGGGUGAAGAGAUGAGUGAAGCUCCUAGCACAUGCCUGGCAGACAGCAGGCUGACAAAUGCUCUUCCUCCACAAUUGUGGAUAGCAACAGAGAGAAAGAGAUGGAUUUUAAGCAAUCUGCUUUUAAAUUAUUCUUAUUACUAUUUUUGGUAUUGGACCUUAUUAUAGAAAGGAUUUUUUGCUUUGGGCUUCUCUGCAAAAUCAUGCUUAGUUAAAUUAGUACUAAAAUUUUGAUAUGUUUGUUCUCUAAACCAGUUCAUGGGGGUGAAGGAGAUAAAUGUGCAUGGUAAAUUGGGAAGAUUUACUGAGCUAACUAUUAAACUAGAGGUUCUUAGGUGGAUGACCCACCUUUGUGUGCUUUACUGUCUCAUCCAUAUUUCAGGAAGAACUUGAAGCAGUUGUUGUUCCUCAAGUUCCUUCAAGAACAUGGCCUUCUUAUUCAUCCUAGGACGCAAAAUCUCUUGGCCACAAACUGCUUUGUUAGCUUUAGAGGAGUUAACACUGUGCUACUUGUGAUAGAAGCACACGCCCCUACAUACAGCUUUCAGCCACAUCUUCCAAAUAGCACUCACUGACAAGUCCCAGUGAUGUCAUAUUCAUGGUGAAUUAUUCUUUUCUUGGUCCCAAGCAAAGUAGGUUGUCUCAUAGUGAGUGCUGAGGAUACUUCACCUUAGGCUUGGCGCCUGUGCUAGUGUGGGCUUUGGGCCGAUGCCACAUGAUGGCAGGUGCCCCAGGUUGGAAUUUCUGAUCACUGAAGGUCAUGAAUAAUGAGGGAGGGAAAGGGCAAAGCAAUAGCAGGGAAAAUGUUUAUACUUGGUGCCCCAGUUAGCUCAGAGCGUAGUAGGCCAAGAGGUUGCUUGGGCAGGCUCAUAAUUUUAUGUGCUUUCAAAUAGAUAUUUGUUACAUAGUUAUUAAAUAUUAUUUAGCAGAGAAACUAAGCUUCAUGUUGGGGAAGGGAAGGAGCAGGAGGAGGAAGAAAACUGUUAUAGAGGUGCCUCAGGGACCCUGGCCAGCCUCUUCAGCAGUUCAGAGACUCUUCGUUUAUCUCUGAUCUUGUCCUUAGGGAGGCCUUACCUCCUCACACAUGGCCCUUUACAGUGCUCUUCUUGAUCAUGUGCAGUGAGUGCUCACCCUGAAAAUCCCAUUUUUCCAUCUUGUUACUUUUCCAGUGAUCUCCUGGGGACUUUAUAGAUUGGCUGUCGGGAAGCCAAGUGGUUGGCUUACCCCCUGAUUCAUCUCUGGCUGAGAGCCUUCUAAAACAUAUUUUAAAUUAAAUGCUUGCUUUUUGGCAAGCUGUGUGGCCUUUGUAAGUAUCACCUCAUUUAUUCCUCAUGACAUCUUAUAAGGUAGAUAGUAGUGUGCCCCCAAGGCAUAGAGAGGAUAAAGUAUCUUAAAGUGACAGCUGGGAAGUGGCAGAAGUACUCCCAAAUGGCAAAUUAGCUUGAGGAAAAUAGCAUAAUACUUCUUUCCAAAACAGUCAGGAUUUCAGACCCCUGAUAAUGACAGAGAAAUGAAAUCAGUUUGAGGACAAUUUCAUCUUAAAGCAUGAUAUGUGCUAAACCUGGUGAUUUAUUUCUGAGUUAAGAUUGGUAUACCCAUUCAAAAGUGGGCAAAAGAUAUGAACAGACACUUUUCAAAAGAUGACAUAUAUGAUGCCAACAAAUAUAUGAAAAAAUGCUCAUCACCACUGGUUAUUAGAAAAAUGCAAAUCAAAACCACAUUGAGAUACCAUCUCAUGCCACUUAGAAUGGUGAUCAUUAAAAAAUCCAGAGACAACAGAUGCUGGAGAGGAUGUGGAGAAAAAGGAACACUUUUACACUGUUGGUGGGAGUGUAAAUUAGUUCAGCCAUUGUGGAAGACAGUGUGGGGAAUCUUCAAGGACCUAGAAAUAGAAAUUCCAUUUGACCCAGCAAUCCCAUUACUGGAUAUAUACCCAAAGGAUUAUAAAUCCUUUGUUCUAUUAUAAAGAUACAUGCACAUGUAUGUUCAUUGUGGCACUGUACAAUAGCAAAAACCUGGAACCACCCCAAAUGCCCAUCGAUGAUAGACUAGACAAGGAAAAUGAGGCACAUAUACACCAUGGAAUACUAUGCAGCCAUAAAAAAUGAAGAGUUCAUGUCCUUUGUAGGGAAAUGAAUGAAUCUGAAAACCAUCAUUCUCAGCAAACUGGCACAAGAACAGAAAAUCAAACACCGCAAGUUCUCACUCAUAGGCGGGUGUUGAACAAUGAGAACACAUGGACUCAGUGAGGGGAGCAUCACACACUAGGGUCUGUUAUAGGGGCUGGGGGAGGGACAGUGGGGUGUGAGGAGGUUGGGGAGAGAGAACAUGGGGAGAAAUGCCAGACAUAGGUGACAGGGGGAUGGAGGCAGCAAACCACAUUCCCAUGCAUGUACCUAUGCAACAAUCUUGCAUGAUGUGCACAUGUACCCCAGAACGUGAAGUACAAAUAAAAAAGAUUGGUAUAAUAUGAGGUAAAAAUAUCCAUAAUAUAAAUCUUUCUGGGAACUAGUGAGAGCUACGCAUUUACAAAGGUGGUUCUGUUUUAUUUGGCUCCCAGGAACUAUAGCAUUUAUGUCAUAACUUGCAUUUGGCAGUACCUUCUGAGUCACUGCUUAAUGCCAAAACAUUAGAAUGAUGGAACCCUGGAAUUCAUUAGCUUCUUCUGGGGCUUGGUGAACCUCAAAACCAGAACCUGGGUUUAAUCAGACAUUCAGUAAGGAAAGUGAUCAGUUGCUUUUCCUAUCUGUAACUGAUUGUAUAUAUUUUUUUAAAAAGGCAGGAAACUUAAUGGAGAAAAAUUUUCCCUCUUCUGCUUUUUUCCAUGAACCUCAAAUUGCUAGAUACUCUGCUUCCAGGGUGUUGACGUCAGUGGAAAUGGCAUGCACAGAAUCCUUAUCUACUAUGCCACAAACUCCAUGCUAUGGUCUGGAAAAGAAAAGAGAGCCCCAAGGGGGAGUCAGCUUAUAUAAAAAAGCAAUAAGCUUUUCUUUAAUUGCUCCCUAAGAAGGAGGAUUCUGGCAUUUAAGAUGAGCUAAAAGUACAAAAAGAGCAUAUUUUGUAAUGAGGGAGGCACGCCUCCCUCAAAGACCCCUAUGACUGCUGUUCUGGAUUUUGGCUAUUAGUAAAAUGAAGACUACGAAAAAUCUCUCAUUGUACACUCAGGAGUAUGUGACUGUCCUGGUAGCCCCCUCCUCUUUUACCUGAAGCCCCUCAGAGCAGUUAUGAUUGAUUCCAUUUCUCUUCUGAAAGCAUCAAGUCCUGGGCUGAGCAAAGGAAAGAUGAAUGACUCCCAGUGGCUCUGUCGUAGAUUACUUAGUGCCAGUUGUCAGUUCUUUUCUCCCUGGGAAGGACUUGAAAUGAGAUUGUUUUCGACAGACUGUCCAUGAUAAAUGAUAUUCUGAGUAAGAAAUUGCUUUCAGUGCUGAACUUCACCAAAUCACUCUGACAAAUGUUUGUGGCUGCAGGGGGCCUUCUCGUGGUUGUCUCAUGCUUCGGGGGUGGGAGGCUAGGAUCUCAAACCAGGAUGGCUCAAAUAGGAUGUCUCCCUGUGAAGACAGAAAGAGACAGGAAUGUCCUCUCGGCAACGUCCAUUUGGUCAGGUUUCAGCUGCUGCUAAAAAUCAGCAAGUGAGGUUUCCCUCCCAGUCUGGGGCCCAGAAUAUUCCAGAUCCAAGAAAAAUAGGUAGGCUAAAAGGAUCUCUUAGUUCUGAUUAUUACCUUGUUUCCAUGUUGGUCAUAAAUAGAACAGCAAUAUGUACAUACAAGGGUGGGGGGCAAGAACCCUUCCGGCAAUGUUCCAUUGUUCGCAACCUGCUAUUAGUCCAUGACCCUUCCUGAAAAAUCUUAAAAACUGCAUACCCUCUUUUAAUAUUCUUUGGCAUUUUGGGAGAGAUUAAAUACCAUGUCUAAAAUCACGGAAGACUGUUAGAGUUUGCCUUUUCCAGCUGCACAGAGUCCUCCUUCCUCCCCUAGAUCCUGGGGGAAUAGGACCUUCUGCAAUGGCAGUCACAUGUCACUUGGCAACAGGGGUCCCCAGGACGUUCACAGGAAGAUGCCUCUUAAGCUAGGAUCUGCAGCCUUUGUGGGUAGCAUCACUGGCUGGGCUUGAGGCUACUGGUCAGUAUUGGCUGGACUUGAUGCUACUACUCAGCAUCCAGGGUUCAGUUGAGACAACUGGCCUGUAAGAGGGACCCACGACACUGUCUGAGCUACAGACAAACCUUGGCAGUUCUGGUUUCAAAGAAGGUUGCCACACUCCUCCAUUUGGCAUGUGGCCUCCAUGGUGCCUUGCUUCCGGCUAGCUCCCAGUUCCUGUCUCUUCCUGGGGCCACAGGAAGAAGGCCACAAAGGCCUCUUCAGUUGUGGUGGCACAGUGGCCAGCAGCCCGGGUACCUACAGCAGCUUCAGGAGGUUCCCAUGCUUCCUGCUGUGUGGUUCAGAGAGAGGCGAAGUUUGUCCACUGCACUCCACUGGCCUGUGUGGGGAGGAGGAGGCUCUCAGGUGGGAGAAUUUUCGAGGAUUACUGGGGACACUAGACAUGGCUUUUGCUGUGACUUCAGAAGCAGGGCCUGUUUAGAGCUUCUGGUUUUACCUGGCUGUGGGGGUGUCCCCCGGGGCAGUGGGAAAGAUGGGUCAUGUUCCACCUUUCCAUCUGUUCUUUCUGAAAUGCUAACCCAUCUUUCUAGUAGUUCCUGCCUUUGUUUAGUCACACAGAUAGCCAGACUGAAGCCAGGAGGAAAUGGGUGUGCUCAAGAUAGCCCAGUUGGUCAGCUUCAAUGCCAGUCUUCUUUGCUGUAAUGCUCAUUCUCCUCUGCCCAUUCUCACAUUGCUCAGUUUCUCUCUGGCCAGUAUGACUGCCUGUUGGCAUUAUUUCCUUUUUCAGGACACUGCAGGAGAGGACUCUCUGUAACACAGCCAUCACCAAGUCAAGCUGAGCAUAUAUAGACCAACAUUGCCAACCGGAUUCGCUUUAUUCACUCACUCAUUAAACAUCUUAGCCUUCUGUGCACCAUGCUCUAUGCUGGGUGCUGGGACCAUAGAAAUAAACCAAAAAAGUUUCCCACCUUCAAGGGGCUCAUGGCCUUACAUGGUAUCUGAUGAGUGGGAGCAGCAGUGCCAACAACAGCACGGGAAGUAUGUUGAGUGCUUACUAUUCUAGUCCGCGUUCUGAGCAUGACCAAAGACUGUGAGACGGGUGCUGUCAUCAUUGACAUUUGAUAGAUGAGGACAUUAGGGUGCAGAUAAGCUAAAUCGCUCCCACAGAGUCACAUAGGGAAUGGGUGAUACCUCCAAGAGCUGAAUCCCAGAAACUCUGGCUUUGAGGAUAGGUUAUCUGAGUUAGCGCUGCAAUGGAAGUGAGUCAAAGGGAGAGAUGGUCAGCCCUUCAGGUGGGUACAGAAGAGCUGUCAGAGGGAGUUGGGUCUUUGGGAGCAGGGAUUGUCCUGCAGCCCCUUUCUUGUAGUGUAAAGACUGUCAUAGAAAAGGCAAGUUCAUCAGUGUCCUGCUUUUGGAUCCAGGGCCUUGAGAGCUGUACUAAAAAGAGAAGAAGAUGUGAAAUCCUUGUACUCAGCUCCAUCCUCAAAACUCUACUUCUAAGGUCACUCAUUUGAGACUAAAAGUUUUUUAGGAACUGUUCAGAAGGAAUGUGGCUUUACUCCCAGUCUGGGGCCAUGGGCUAUGGGCCUAGGUCAUACCUUGCUGGUCAGGGCAGGUACUAGAAUAAACGACUCUCUAUUUUGGGAGCAGACACGCAUAGGCUAAUUAGGUCUGCUGAACCCCAGGUGUAUCUGAGGUUGUGGAACUGCAGCAUCCCAGAUAGGGAACAAAUAUGGCAAAGUUAGAGGCAGAAGCAGAGGUUGAGAAUGGCUGAAUCAUGGGCAGCACCCCUUCCCUGGGCCUGACUUCAGCAGUGGGCAGAUGGCAAAGGUAUGGCAGAGCAAGCAAUCUGAGCCCUUCUGUAGCUGCCGGGUCCGUUCUAGAAGAGGCUCCUCUGUUCUGGAACUUCUCUCAUGGGAGCUGGAUAUUUUAAGUCAUGAGGACUUCCACAUUCUUACCAGAUCUCUGACUCACUGGGCUGUUUGAUUCUUUGCAUGAACCACUACCAACAAGAUUUCACUUCCCUCUUCACUUCGUCCAUGACCUCCACCACAUCUAAGCACACCCUCCUCAAAACUAUGCUACCUGCAGCCAUGUGGCGUAAAGAAGUCAUCUAUGGUUAGGCGACAGCACUCCACAACUGAGGAAGGAAAGGAGGCGUGCCAGUCAGAGAGGGCAGAACACUCACAUUUGAGGAAAUGAACUUGUGUUCUAGUAAGUUCCAUCACUCUGACCCUCUUGGCUUCUGAGUUUUCUGUCACCAUGUUUAUAUGUUUAAUCAAGACUCUAUCCUGUCUUGGAUGUCGUGGGAUUCUCAUUUUUUAUUCAUUCUAGACUCACUCUGAUUUUUCUGCACUUUUUUUUCAACUUGUUUAAGGGACAAACAACUUUCAUAGCUGGGGAGUGAGGCUGAUAAUAAGGACUUUAAAGACAAAAAUACAGAUGGGCAGGUAUUAACUGAGCAGCACCAAGAUGAGCAGGUGGCUGGGACAAGUCAUCAAAAGCCAAUACACUGUGUGUCACCACAUGGUUUGAGAAAAAAUUAUAACCACUAUGAAUGGCUUCCAAGUUAAUUUUUUUUUCUUUUCCCGAGACAGAGUCUUGCUCUGUCAUCCAGAGCUGGAGUGCAAUGGCGGAAUCUCAGCUCCCUGCAACCUCUGCCUCCCAGGUUCAAGGUACUCUCCUGCCUCAGCCUCCCAAGUAGCUGGGAGUACAGGCACAUGCCACCAUGCCCAGCAACUAGCAACCUCAACUCUUAAUCCAUAUGGGAACUAUCAGAAGACCUGAAGAGCACCAUGCCUGGCUAAUUAUUUUGUAUUUUUAGUAGAGACGGGGUUUUGCCAUGUUGGCCUGAUCUCGAACUCCUGACCUCAUGAUCUGCCUGCUUCAGCCUCCCAAAGUGCUGGGAUUAUAGGUGUGAGCCACUGCACCCAGCCCCAAAUUAAAAUUACUUUAUAGCCAAAGAGAAAUGAUAUAAUUAUUUCAAUGCAGUUAAACCCUGUAAUAGCACUCCACACAAUCCAAUCAUAAUAUAAAAUCAGAUAUGUAGACAAUGGUAAUCAGCGUUAAUCCUCUGCCUGUCUCAGAAUAUAAGGCUAAAGUUCUUUUUUUCUAGGAGUGAGGCAACUUUGCCAUGACAAAUAGAGAUGCAAAUGUGGGGUCCUCUUGGCCUGUCUUCUGUUGGCCUGUUCUCUGGAAUCAGGAAUCUAGCCCAUACAACAGGAGCAUAUUAAUCAACUUCAGGAUGUUUUUGAAGUCACUGAUGCUGUUCUGGAAGUCCCAACAGCCAAAGGAUCUAAAAGCAUCGAAUUGAUAUUUACCCAAGAGCAGCCAACUGACCCAGGUAGAACCUGAAAAUAUUUGGAUCUCACAGAAGGACUGCUGGCCUCUGGCUGUGCAGGCUCCCUGGGGUCAUUUUAGUAUCCUCACUGUGAUGCAACUUCACAUUGUACAUGAUUGAAAUGUUUAGACUUUGCUUAUCGCAUUAUGUUGGGAGUAGUGGGUAGACACAGUAGGAGAAUAGAGGGUUAGAGGUUUAUUUUAAAUCAGAUUGGGCCAGUCACUGUAAGAUCUAUAAGAAGGUUUAUAAUCUAAUAUGAUACUCAUACAAAGUGCUCUUCCAGUCUGAUUCUUAUGGAUUUCCCAGGGGUGAUCCCAAUCUGAUUCUUUGUAGCACAGUGACCUUCAUCAUUAGCAAAGCCAGAAAGGCGCUUCCCAAAGAUGGGAGAGCAAUAUCUCUGCUCCUGAGCCUAGAUCUGCUUUUUUUCUCUCUUUUGUAGAGAGGAUUUUUAUUUUGCCUUUCCGUAUACAAAUCCUUUAUGCUUUCUUGUGUGAUGUUGUGUAGUCACCCAAUAAUCCUGUGAUGAAGGAGUUAUUAUGAUCACCACUUUACAGGUGAGGAAACAGGCUCAGAGAAGUUGAUGCUUGUCUGAAUUCAUACAGCUCAUGAGUGACAGAGAUGGGCUUUGAACCUGCAUCUAUCUGGCUCCAAAACCUGGGCUCUCACUGCAUCAUAAAUGUUCCUGGUGAUGCAAUGUUUAGGUAGGUACAGACUAGUCCUUUAACACUUAAUGCUGUGUUUUGGGGUUGAGGAUAACAUAGACUUUUUGUGAAUUUGAUGAAAAUUGGACCUCUGGGUGGGCAGGGAGUCAGGAAGCACCCUAGUCUCACAGUAUUUUGUUUGUUUUUAAUUUUUAAAUUUUUGUGGGUAUAUAGCAAGAGUGUAUAUUUAUGGAGUAAUGAUCCGUUUUGAUACAAGCACUCAAUGUGUAAUAAUCACAUCAUGGAGAAUGGGGUGUCCAUCCUCUAGAGUAUUUAUCCUUUGUGUUAAAACAAUCCAAUUCCAUUCUUCUAGUUGUUUAAAAUGUACAAUGAACUUACUAUUGACUAUAGUCACCGUCUUGUGCUUCUAGGCCUUAUUCAUUCUUUCUGAUUAUUUUGUUGCUCCCACUCCCACAAUUUUGCAUAUAAUUUCAGCUAGUUCAUGGGGGUCCCUGAAGCCCAUUAUGGAUUAUUUAGACCUAGGGCAGUCCCUGGAUCUCAGGUUAAGCUAAUUAGUGUCUUGGGAAAAUUCAUUAAAUUUUUUUAAAGAAAAAGCUUGAAUGAUCAGAAGGCCAUUUCCAGAAAUAUCCUUUUGACUGUUCAGGAAUGAAGAGACUGGGUGAGGAGAGAGGACGAUGGUGAGGGGAAGAGGAACUGGAUGGAAGGCAUGAAGAAAUUAUCUAUCAAGGAGUAAAAGCAAUUUGCAUUUGUGAAUAAUUAAGGUUGUUCACACCCUAUGGACUUGGCUAAAGCACUAUCCCUAAGCAGUUUCUUUUCAGGUUAAAAUUAAUUGGAGUGUUGGUUUAUUUAUUUUUUCCAUUGGUGAAUCAAAUGACUCAUCCAGAUUUAUAAACCUUCCACCUAUCCACUCUUUAUUAAGAUCUGUGGGGGCGAGUGAUUGAUCAUUUUAUUGAGUUCCCCAGGGUCAUUAUUUGUAGAACUUGGUGCUAGUGGUUAGGUCAGUGACCGCUAGAGACUUCUGAGAGCCCUAGAAUCUCUGGUUUCUAUGAAAAGGGAAAACGGGUGAUCCCAAGAGUUGGGUGUUACUUAUGUCUUGAGGCAGACUUUUUAGCAGAAACUGGAAUACAGGGCUAAGGGGGUAAAAGGACCAGAUCUAAUAGCUUGGGGGUUUUUAGAUUUCAAAACUAGAUACAGUUUCAAACUCCCCAGGAAGGGAAGAGAGGGCUACUAAUAGUCUCCUCUCCUUGUGUCCAGAAAAGAUUCCUUGAGAUCACUAUUAGAAUGACCCCUUUGUAUGCACAAAAAUGACCCAGAUUUUCUUCACGUCACUUAUCUCCUCUCCUAGAAGUUUUAACAUCUCUUGACACUUCAAAAAUGAAUGACAGGAAAACAUUUUUCCCAGCCUAGCUCUAAGAAAGGCAGUAUAUCCUUCCCAGACCCUGCUGCCAGCCGUUGCAGCCACUGCAGAGGAAAUCUGACCUCUUAGACAUCUAAGAGGGCCACAGAGUACCUGGCUGCCCUUGUGGCUCUAGAUUCUGACUAAAUGGGGUAGACUCAAACCCCAGUCUUAACCAGUGCUAUGAAUUUGAGCAAAUCAGCUAGCAGUAAAAGCACAGCUUUGGUGUCAAGCUACUCGAGUUCAAGUUCUGUCUAAUUAUUACUCAUCAGCUAAGUGACCUUAUUUCACCACUUUCUUGUGCCUCAGUUUCCUCAUUUGUAAUAUGAAGACAAUAUAAAUAGUAACAAUAAAAGGGUGUUAUGAGAAUUAAUUGAGUCAACACAUAAAAGCACUCAGAAUAGUGGCUGACAUGUGUAGAGGGCUAGAAGGGCACCCUUCAUGAAUUUUAGUGAUUAUUAUUAUUUAUGCUCGCUAAGUUUCAAGGUCUCCACUUGUAGAAUGGAGUUGAUAACAGGGUUUUUGUGAGGAUAAUGAGAAGAUACACCUAAGUGCUUAGAAAAGAAUGCCACUGGGCAGAGCAUGGCUGCUCACCAGUGUUUGGCAAUCAUGGGUUACCAUGUUAGUGAUGAGAAACAGACCAGGGGUCUUCUGACAGUUCAUAGGAGUUUAGUCAGGGUGGUAAGAAAAAUUGUAAAAUAGAUGCAAACCUUCUUGGAAGGCUGGAGAGUCUUGCAAAAGCCUCAGAAUAGGAAUUGGCUGUAGGCAGCCAGAUUCUCUUAAUCUGGUGCCUGAAAGCUGAAGUUAGAUAACUAGAGGAUGUAAAGAAACUGAUCUAGAUAAGUUAGUUUACUUAGGCCUCAGAAACUGGCCUUCAGUCAUCUGUAAGACUGCCCACUCCAGGGAGGGCGACCAUGUUAAUUGUCCACAAGUAUGUUGACGCAAAGCGUUUGUCAUGAAAUUGGUACUGAAUAUAUGCCCACAGAACCAGCUUGUGAAGGCCAUGGCUGUUGAAAUCUUUUUUUUUUUUUUGAGACGGGGUUUCUCUCUUGUUACCCAGGCUGGAGUGCAAUGGCGUGACCUCGGCUCACCGCAACUUCCGCCUCCUGGGUUCAGGCAAUUCUCCUGCCUCAGCCUCCUGAGUAGCUGGGAUUACAGGCAUGUGCCACCAUGCCCAGCUAAUUUUUUGUAUUUUUAGUAGAGAUGGGGUUUCACCAUGUUGACCAGGAUGGUCUCGAUCUCUUGACCUCGUGAUCCACCCGCCUUGGCUUCCCAAAGUGCUAGGAUUACAGGCGUGAGCCACCGCGCCUGGCCGGCUGUUGAAAUCUUUACAGCACCUUCCUUGGUGUCUGUGAGUGGCCCAGACCGCUAGCCUGCUGUUUCACAGGAUAUCUGCAUGGCUGCAGUGCUGAUUCUCUGGGAAGGUGUUGAUAUGGAGUCAUAUUUGUCACUAAAUGAAAAGAACCAGGAAGGCACUUCAAGAACAGAGGAUCUGAAAUAAUAUGGGGUAGCUCUAAAAAAUUUAUUAAAUUAAAAAAAUAAGGCUGGGUUUGGUGGCUUAUGCCUGUAAUCCCAGCACUUUGGGAGGCCAAGGUGGGCAGACCACUUGAGGCCUAGAGUUUGAGGCAAGCCUGACCAAUAUGAUGAAAUCCCAUCUCAACCCAAAAAUACAAAAAUUAGCUGGAUAUGGUGGCAUCCACCUGUGAUCCCAGCUACUUGUGAGGCUGAGGCACAAGAGUCACUUGAACCCAGGAAGCCAGGAUUGCACCAGUGCACUCCAGCCUGGGCAUGGAGUGAGACUCUGUCUCAAAAAAUAAAUUAAAAUAAAUAAAUAAGAAACAGUCAUAUAUAUUUUGAAAUGAGACUGCAUUAAAGAAAGGACGUUGUUGAGAUCAUGGAUAUUUGUGGGUUCUUCCUUGGAUUGGAUGAGUCAUGUUGUGGUGAUGUUAGCUCAGUGGGGACUUCUACUGGGGUGCAAAAAUGCCUGCAGGAACCAGGCUGGAUGCAAGGCUUAAGAAGUAGUGGGGACCAGGAGACAUGUCUUCAGGAGCAUCUGCCCUACCCCAGUGGGUUAUUUCCCAGUGAGAACAUGGAACAAUGUCUUGCAGAUCUUUUAUUCAUUCAAGUAAUUCUGCAAAUACAUUUAAAAAAUAGAACACUUUUGAUUUUUAAAACCUGUAUGGUUUGCAACCUUUGUCUAUAGAAGACCAGGGAGCAAGUGACGUUGUAAUUUGCAAGGAGGCUAUUGGUAUUAUUUGGGAAUGGAGCGCUGGACCCCUUCAACUUCUCCCUCCCUUUCAACUUUCAAGAGAGAAAGGUUCAGGGCUUUUGGUUACCCAAGGGAGAUAGUUUUCUCCUCUGAGCUUCCUAACCCCAUCAAAUAAUGUCCUUCAAUAGUGGUCCUCGAACUCCGUUCCUGAGAGGCCUCCUCUCAGCCCUCCCAUUUUAUUGAGAUGUAUAUUUAAAGUAUUAUUGAAAUGGCUAUUAUAAAUGGCAUAGGGAGUUUAUAUUUUUAAGCCUUUGUAAAGCAUUUUGGUCUCAUGACAUUCCCGCACAUCAAGAAUCCCAGGGGGGUUUACCAAACUUUUAUAUGCAGGUAGGCUUCCCUUGAGAAGAAUAACAAGUAAAUUCAAAAGAGAGGCUGAGAAUCAACUAUUCUCAGCACAAAUACAUUUUUCUCAUUACAAAAAUUUCCAUCACAAGUUUCCAUCAGAAGGUUCUUGCUGAAUUUAUGAUAGGGUUUACUGCGUAAAUCAAUUUGAUCUACACAUAAUUCUCAAGAAAGCAUCUGCCGCAUAAAUUGAGGUGCACCUGCACUUCAUAACACUUUUUUCUCCUUUUGUUUCUCGUUUUCCACUUUGUUCUGUCUGUGUCAUCUAUAAACAUCUCUAUGUUUUCAUUCAGCAGCUCCUGGAGACUUCUUAGCAAGCCAAUAUACUGGAACACAGAAAAUUCAAGGGUGGCCCAAAGUGUUCUCCACAAAUGGAUUGUAAUUCCUAUUCCUUAAAUAUAUACCAGUUGAUUCUGGGAGGAGGUGGCCACAGGAAGUCAUGAGAUGAUGGGACUGAUAGGCAUCUCUAUCUCUAAAGCUGACAGAGGAAAAAUUGGGCUUAGAAAAAAAAUUUUUUGUUUUUUUUUGAGACAGAGUCUUUUUUUUUUUUUGAGACGGAGUUUCGCUCUUGUUACCCAGGCUGGAGUGCGAUGGCGCGAUCUCGGCUCACUGCAACCUCCGCCUCCUGGGUUCAGGCAAUUCUCCUGUCUCAGCCUCCCGAGUAGCUAGGAUUGCAGGCACGUGCCACCAUGCCCAGCUCAUUUUUUGUAUUUUUAGUAGAGACGGGGUUUCCAGGAUGGUCUCGAUCUGUUGACCUCGUGAUCCACCCGCCUCGGUCUCCCAAAGUGCUGGGAUUACAGGCUUGAGCCACCGCACCCGGCCAAGACGGAGUCUUGCUCUGUCACCCAGGUUGGAGUGCAAUGGCAUGACCUCAGCUUACUACAGUCUCCACCUCUCGGGUUCAAGUGAUUAUCCUGCCUCAGCCUCCCGAGUAGCUGGGACCACAGGCAUGCACCACCAAGCCUGGCUAGUUUUUGUAUUUUUAGUAGCAAUGGGUUUUCACCAUGUUGGCCAAGCUGGUCUCAAUCUCCUGACUUCAGGUGAUCUGCCCACCUCGGCCUCCCAAAGUGCUGGGAUUAUAGGCAUGAGCCACUGCACCUGGCCAAAAAUUCAGUUUUUGCUCACAAGGUUUCUGCAUCUGAGCUGUUCAUGCAUAACACAGGGACAGAGCAGAGACCUGGAGGCAUAGCUUAGGAUAUUGGCUAUGACACUUAAGAACUAUGGGACCUAUCUGUAGCCCACACCCUUGUCUGUAAAAUGAGGAAUAUGAUGCUUAUCUUUAAGGGUAUUUGUUAGGAUUAAAUGAAGUAAUAUAUAAAGCUGGUAUCAGCUUUCAGUGCUCAUUUGAUAAAUUUUUUUCUUAUGAAUGAAUGAGUUCAUGGUUCAUAAAUUCUCUCUAAAGAAGUAAUUCUUAUUUAGAAGGCUUCAGAAGCUGGUACCUAGAUAUGACAACAGCUACCUGUACCAUGUUUUACUAAUUCUAAGAUAUGAUUUCACAGUUCAAAAUCACCAAAAUCAGGAAGUGUCUUAUCAUUCAUAACUUCUUAUGGCUAUAAUUGGUUAAUAUUUUCUUUCUUGGUGGCACAUAAAACAGUGGUUUACUUUUCUGUUGGCGGCAAUUUAGAUUCCACAGACUAACUCAGCUCGGCUGACUUUAGUUGCUGCUGUUCGCCUUCUUUCUCCCCGUUCUCUCACCCUUCCUUUCAACUUCUCCUCCUACCCUCUUCUUCAUGGUUUUAUUGAAAUAUAUUUCAUAUACCAUAGAAUUCACCCAUUUAAAAUGUUUCCUAGUAUAAUCACAGAGUUGUGCAACUGUCACCACAAUCUAAUACUAGAACAUUUUCAACACCCCAGAAAGAAACCCUAUAUUAAUUGGCACUCAUUCCUCAUUCUCCCACUACCCCAGUCUUCUCAGCUCUAGGCAACUGCUCAUCUACUUUCUGUCUCUAUAACAUGCCUGUUCUAGACAUUUCAUAUAAAUGGAAUUUUAUGAUAUGCGCCUUUUUGUGACUUCUUGCUUUCAAUUAGCAUAAUGUUUCCAAGAUAGAAAUAGAAGCAAAGAAGUCUAACAUCAAGGCAGCAGCAUGGUCAAUUUCUGAUGAAGGCUCUCUUCCACACUUGCAGAUGGCCACCUUCUGGUGGGGGGGUGGGGGGGAGGGUGGGGAGAGAGAGAGAGAGGGAGGGGUGUAGGGGGAGGGCAAGCUCACUGCUCUCUGGUGUCUGUUCUUAUAAGGGCAUUAAUCCCAGCAUAAGUCCCCACUCUUAUGAGCUCAUUAGACCUAAUUAUCUCCCAAAGGCCCCACCUCCGAAUAACACUGGGGGUUGGGGUUUUAACAUAUAAAUUUUGGGGUAAUGCAAUCCAAUUCAUAGCAUAUGGUAUCUCAAUGUUUAACUUUUUGAGUAGCUUUUAGCUUAUUUUAUUAUCUCUGCUCUGGCCCUGGCUUAGAUCAUGACCGUUAUAACUUUACCAUGAGGUCCAUGGUCUACAUAUUACAGAUGUCAGCACCAUAGAUAGUUAUCUAUUUAUUUAUCUAAUGAAAGCUAAUUAAUUACCUGAUCUAUGCUGGAUACUGUAAAUAAGUAAAACAGUAAACAUAAUUGGGGAGCACUUGUUGUCUAGAGGGGGAGACAGGCAAAAAAAAAAAAGCAAAAAUAAAAGACAAAACAAGUACAAUCUGCAAUCAUACUCAGAAGAUAAAAGAAAAGACCAUCUAAACAGAAGAUGGUAUUGCCUUGAUCUAGUAGGGUAGUGAAGUAGGGAAAUUAAAGAGGAGAAAGACAUUUGGACAGGACUCCCUGAUGGAUUGGAUGUAGAGUAAAUGGAAGGAGGAAUCAGGGUCCUUCUCACCCUCUAGUGUUUGGCUUCAAUGACAGGUUGCUGGUGGUGGCAUUUACUGGGAAGGGAGGGACUGCAUUGGGGAAUAAGAACUGCAUUGGGGAGAAAUCAGGAUUUCUAUCUUAGAUAUGUUCAGUUUAAAAAGUUUGUGACACCUGAAAGAGAAGAUGUCAAAUACCAAGGGAGAUAAUUGAGUCUGGAACUCAGAAGAGAGGAAUCAUAUUAUGUUUAGAAAUUACAAAGAUGACUUUGAAUGCCUGUGAGUUGAUGGUGCCAUCUGGGGAAAGAGUAUAGGGAGAGGAGAGAAGGUGCCCAGGGUGAAGGCAAGAGGACUCCCAACAUUUAUGGGGUGAGUAAAGCAGGAGGAGGCUGGAUGGGAAACUGAGGAAGGGCACACCCAGGGCGAGGGGAUGGCAGAAGCCUAAGGAGAGGGUUUCAGGCAGAGGGGUGGCCAGUUGCCAAGUGCUGCUGAAACAGAGGGAAGGUAAGGGUCCAGGGUCAUCUGUGGCGUUUGCCACAGGUUUCUUUGACAGUGAAGACCUAACGAGUGGAGGGAGGGCCUGAUGGAAGUGGGAUAAAAGAUGGAGCCUGGAGCAGUCUCUAGAAAUGUGGUUGGCUAUGGAGGACAGUAGAGCAAGCCUCUAUUUUGGUAGCAGACCUCCAGCUGCAAGGGAGAGCUUGCUAUAGCAACACAGUAUAGUUAGUACAGGGCGGAAAGAUUGUGAAGGGCAUGGUGUGUUAUGAAUGAAGAGGCAGAGGAUGUGCUGGGUGCCUGUGAGUGCAGUGUUGGAGAGCUACUGGUAGGAAAAAAAGUGUAACCAGCCUGAUUCUUUUAUGUGACUUUUAAUGACAUGGUGAGGCGAGGCCAUCCACUGAGCUUGGUGGUGCAGAAAAGAACAUAGGAGUUUGGAGGAGAGAAGAAAAACUGUGAAAUAGAGACCUUGAAAAUUGGAAAGCAAACCAAUUCAAGAAAAACAGCAGUUUGCCAGUCAGUAUGGAGUGUCAAUUUGCAGUUUGGGAUCAUGAAUUUAAAGCCAAACUAGUCAUUUUCCUUGUGUGGUUUUAUUUAGGAACUUUCAGCUUUCCAGGACUGGUGUGAAGCAGGGCUGGGGGCUUCUGUUAGGAAGGGAGGGUGCUGCCCAGGAGUGAUGGCAAUGGUGGACUCUAAGAAUUAGGCUGGACAAGGAGGGUUGCGAGGCUGGGCAGGGGGCAGAUGGUUAGCCAGGGGUGGGAUGUUGGGGGAGAUAUCCAGAAUUUAGAGAUUUCUCUGAGGCUGAGGAAAGGUGCCGAUGGGAAGCACAUGAACAGGCAAGCACAAGGAUGAGGGGUUGCUAUUGAAGAAUGGGUGUUUGCAGCCAAGAUAUCAGAAACAUUGUAGCUGCUGCUUUUAUCAGGUCCAAAGCAAGAUCACAGGAGUGGGUGUGUGGCAUGCAGGAAGGAAGGGAAAGGGUCACCAACGAUCAGCAGAACAAGGAACGGGAGGCCAGCACUUCUGGUGGUUGGUCUAUGUCCCGGUGAUUAAGAUGACUGGAGUUGGGGCGGAGAGGGCAGACUACAAGCUGAGAGCUAUGUCCCAGGCCAUAAUCGCUAGGCCCCCUUGCAGUUGUGUAUGGGAAACUGAGGAAGGGCACACUCAGGGCAAGGAGAUGAAAGAAGCCUAGGGAGGAGGGGGUUUCGGGCAGAGGGAGUGGCCAAUUGCCAAGCACUGUUGAGAUAGAGGGAAAGUAAGGGUCCAGGGUCUUCUGUGGAGUUUGCAACAGGGAUGUUACUGAUUUCUUUGAAAGAGAAAACCUAUCAAGUGGAGGGAGGGCUUGACUGAGGCAGGCUUCAAUAUUACUUAAAAUAAAAACAAUAGGAUCUGGUGUGUGUGAUCACCAGACGUUUUCCAACCCUAUCUUUUUGUGCCCUGAUUACAAUUUCAAAUUUAAAACUGACAUGCAGGAAUGACUGUUUCAGAAAUGUGAGUCCAUCUCUUGCUGGUCCUUUCUGUCUAAGGGCUAGUUGUAUUGGUGAUUUGGUUCUUGAGAUGUGGGUUCUCCUGCCCUCAUGAGGACCUUCCUUACGCCUCCCCUACUGCCUUUGAUUCCUGUGGAGCAUAAAAGUUAAAGGUUAUAUUAGGGGGAUAAAGAUGAUUAGCAAGUCCAAGUCUAGCUGCUGAAAGCUACAUUCCAGGUCUCCAACCUUAGCUGUGCUUCAUGCAGACAGGGUUAGAGCUGGUUUUGCUCUUUGCUGAGUACCCUGUGAAUGUUACACAUCAUGAUUGUAUCAUUACACGUCAUAACAAUAGGAUUUUAAUGUUAUUAUUGCACAUUCUAAUUAUGUGAUUACUCAGUCUUUCACCAAUUAUGUAAUUAAAUUUAAUUACACCAAUUGCACAAAUAAACGAUCGUCAACUAUAAAUUACUUAAAAUCCAGAACUAUGCGUACGUCGGCAAUUGUCCCCAACACAAGAAUGGAAAAUAUAAGGAAAGGAAAAAGGCUUAUGAAACCAAUUAGCAAGUGAAAGGAAUAAUGUGAUUUGGAUAGAUCUUUAAGGAUAAUGUCAGGGAAUCAUCUUGUCUGGAAGUUUCCUGACAUUUUUUUUCCUCUGACAAAGUGUGGUAGUAGGAAUUGAAGAUGUCAGAGUCAAGAGGACUGAUUCCUCUUGGCUGUGCCUGAAGCAGAGAUUGCUCUCAUUUCCUUAACCAUACAGCUUAAUGAGGAAGGGGGAAGAGAAGACAGCAAGAGAGAAAAGAGCAAGAGACACUGAGCAGGAGAGGGAGAGGAGGAAAGAGAGAACAUAACAAGUUGGUAUUUCAUAAUUAAAAGUAAUAUACAUUUACUACUUUUAAGAAUAUAUUUUUUAAUUUUCAUCUUUUAUUUUAGAUACAGGGGGUACAUGGGCAGGUUUGUUAUGUGACUAGAUUGCACCCAGGUAAUGAGCAUGGUGCCCAAUAGGUAGUUUCUCAACCCACGGUCCCCUCCCUCUCCUCUCUAGUAGUCAAUAGUAUAUAUUGUUCCCAUGUUUAUGUCCAUGUGUGCUCAGUGCUUAGCUCCUACUUAUAAGUGAGAACAUGUAGUAUUUGGUUUUCUGUUUCUGUAUUAAUUUGUUUAGGAUUAUGGCUUCUAGCUCCAUUCAUGUUGUGAACAAGACAUGAUUUCACUCUUUUUUAUGGCUGCAUAGUAUUCCAUGGUGUCUGUGUACCACAUUUUCUUUAUUCAGUCUAGCAUUGAUGGGCACCUAGGUUGAUUCAAUGUCUUUGCUACUGUGAAAUAGCAUGGCAGUGAGCAUGUAGGUGCAUGUGUCUUUUUCUUUUGUGUAAUGAUCUAGUUUCCUUUGAGUUUACACCCAGUAAUGGGACUGUUGGGUUGAAUGGUGGCUCUGAUUUAAGUGUUUCGAGAAAUUUCCAAACUGCUUUCCACAUUGGCUGAACAAAUUUACAUUCCCAUCAACAUGGUAUAAAUGUUCCCUUUUCUCUGCAGCCUUGACAGUAUCUGUUGUUUUUUGACUUUUUAGUAAUAGCCCUUAUAACUGGUGUGAGAUGGCAUCUCAUUGUGGUUUAAAUUUGCAUUUCUCUGAUGAUCAGUGAUGAUGAGCAGUUUUUCAUGUUUGUUAGCCACUUGCAUGUCUGUUUUUGAGAAGUGUCAGUUCAUGUCUUAUGUCCAUU